rnacentral:rRNA from 1 species
CUAGCAUAUAUGCGGACAAUCAGCUUUUGAGUGUGAUUAUGUGGAUUGUGAGGAGUUUAAUCACCCUCAUGGUUUGCAUAUUCGUGCUCUUGGGUGUAUUUGCCCGUGUGGUAGGUUAACAUCAAUUUCGGACGUCAUAAAAUGAUUGGAGGAAUGUAGCUUCGAUCUCGUAUUGAAGUGUUAUAGCCCUUCGGUAGAUGUGGUGAUCGGGGAUUGAGAUUGCAACGGAUACCCUUCGGGGCUACCUGGUCUGAGUCUCUGAUCGUUGCUCUGGUACCG